UAUUCUUGUUGCAUUUUUUUUCCACAACUUGUUAAUAGUCUCUUUUCCUCUUUUAGGACUAGACUAAUACUCUGAAAUGAGGAAAGGAAGAGACUGUGACAUAAGAAACUUACUUCCUGGAGGGAAGAGGAACUUCAGUGACCUGGUAUUGCAUGGAAGAGAUGGACUUCCUGUUCUGAUUGGAGGCUGCAUUCUUUUGAGAUGCCGUAUAGGAGAGAACACAAUCUUGGCCCUGAGAGAUGGUAUGAGGUAGGUGUAAAGCAUAUACAGGCCUCAAAAUCAGGUAGACUCAGAUUUGUAUUCU
rnacentral:lncRNA from 1 species